CUAAUAGGGCCGAUGGUAAAGGCAAAUUACCCACUCACCGUCGGAUCCUUACAAGGCACCCAGACCUACAUCCCUACAUCCCAUCUCCUGCGAAUGACGGGUAGAGGGCCUUGUCGUGUGUCUGGAGUAACUCCUUCGCGUCCGACUCAUUAAAGAAAAAAAUCGUAUUCCAGUAUGAAGUUUCGACCCAAUGAUUCGUCUGACAAACAAAGAACUUCACGUCCUGCAGGCGCAGGCACGGAUCAAAGCUGGCGAGACAUUCAAUGACGCCAUCUUCACAGACAAAUCAACCUUGGCCCUUGAGGAUUUUGCUCAAAAUUGCUACAGAAAAAAAGGAAGAAGAUCAAGCAAGCCAAGUCCCAAACAUCCCCCCAAACUCCAUGUGUGUGUGGAGGGGCAAUUUCUCACAAGGGACCAGGACCAUAUGAUUUUUGAUGACAAUGACCCAAAACAUACUGCUGCCCGGGUUUGCAAAUGAGGGGAUAAACUGGGUCAAGAUGCCAGCAGAGU